rnacentral:rRNA from 1 species
AUUAUUAGAUAUUAAACCCUUUCCUUCGGGAUUGUGAUGAAUCAUAGUAAUCGAACGAAUCGCAGCAUGCUGCGAUAAAUCAUUCAAGUUUCUGCCCUAUCAGCUUUGGAUGGUAGUGUAUUGGACUACCAUGGCAAUCACGGGUAACGGAGAAUUAGGGUUCGAUUCCGGAGAGGGAGCCUGAGAAACGGCUACCACAUCUACGGAAGGCAGCAGGCGCGAAAAUUGCCCAAUCCUGACUCAGGGAGGCAGUGACAAGAAAUAACUACCCUAGGAUUUCUUAGGAGUGUAAUGAGGAUAAUUUACAAACCUUACCGAAAGCAAUUGGAGGGCAAGUCUUGGUGCCAGCAGCCGCGGUAAUUCCAGCUCCAAUAGCGUAUAUUAAAGUUGUUGCAGUUAAAAAGCUCGUAGUUGAAAUUCUGGUUGCUAAGGCUUCUAGUCCUCGGACGGAAGUGCUUACAGCCAUCCGCUUGUAAAUAUGGAUUCGCUCUUCACCGGGCGGCUAUAUGAGCAAGCAUUUUACCUUGAGAAAAACAGAGUGUUCCAGGCAGGUUUGUCCGGAAUGCAUUAGCAUGGAAUAAUAGAAUAUGACUGAGGUCUAUUUAUUGGUUUAGGGCCACAGUAAUGAUUAAUAGGAACAGUCGGGGGCAUUGGUACUUGACAGCUAGAGGUGAAAUUCUUGGAUUUGUCAAAGACUAACUGAUGCGAAAGCGUUUGUCAAGGAUGUUUUCAUUAAUCAAGAACGAAAGUUAGGGGAUCAAAGACGAUCAGAUACCGUCCUAGUCUUAACUAUAAACUAUACCGACUCGGAUUCAGAUGAAUCGUAAAGUUCAUUUGGGACCGUAGGAGAAAUCAAAGUCUUUGGGUUCUGGGGGGAGUAUGGUCGCAAGGCUGAAACUUAAAGGAAUUGACGGUUUUGCACCACCAUGGAGUGGAGCCUGCGGCUUAAUUUGACUCAACACUGGGAAACUCAUCAGGGCAAGAAGAUUGUAGGAUUGACAGAUUGAGAGUUCUUUCUUGAUUGGUCUAGUGGUGGUGCAUGGCCGUUCUUAGUUGGUGGAGUGAUUUGUCUGGUUAAUUCCGUUAACGAACGAGACCUUAACCUACUAACUAGUACCAGUAUUUCAAAUGCUGGUUACUUCUUAGAGGGACUAUGUGUUGUAAACACAUGGAAGUUUGAGGCAAUAACAGGUCUGUGAUGCCCUUAGAUGUCCUGAGCCGCACGCGUGCUACAAUGACUUAUUCAACGAGUAUUUCCUGAUCCGACAGGAUUUGGGUAAUCUUUUUAGUGUAAGUCGUGUUAGGGAUAGAUCUUUGUAAUUAUGGAUCUUGAACGAGGAAUUCCUAGUAAGCGCAUGUCAUCAGCAUGUGCUGAUUACGUCCCUGCAAAAUGUACACACCGCCCGUCGCUAUUGCCGAUUGAGUGUUCAGGUGAACCUUCUUGAUUGUUGCAAAACGAAAAAUUAAGUAAACCUUAGCACUUAGAGGGAAUAAAAGUCGUAACAAGGUUUCCGUAGAAAGAACAUUUAAUAAUCAAAUAAUUUUUCUGUAUGAAUCAAUCAGCUUUGGGGUUUAUAGGUUUAUACUGUUUGCAUUAAGGUUAAUGCGGACAAACGUAUUUCUCCUUUACUCCUAAGUAAUCCAUACAGCACCAUCGAGUUUUGUUUACUCUUUCUGAUUCAAAUACAAGAUGGUUCGGAUUCACGCAGCCUGGGUUAUGACAAAGAUGAGAUACUUGCUAUUUUUAAGUAGGCUCUCUCUUAAAAUUAACACACGCUGACACAACAUGGCAGUAAUACUUGACUUUCAAAUAUCUUAUCUGAGUAUAGCCAGGAGUUUUUGUUGGUGCAUAAUUUGUAAUCCAGCAACAAUUCGGCUAUUGGAUAUGUAUGUGUUUCAAGAUUACUUUCCAUAUUUACAAAUAAGGUACUUGACCUUUUUUGUUAUCCAUAAAAUUAUUGAUUAUUAAAAUUAUUAGUGAUUCUUCUACAGGUUUGCCGCCACGAAAGCCUUUGCAGCCAGUAACGGUUCAGUCAGCGACUUAAAUUAAAUAGACUGAUUAAAUGCAAGUUGGGUUUUCUCAUUAUAGAAAAACCAGCGAUCUCUUCAAACUGCGGGAAAAUCCUUAGAGCUGUUGACUACCGCGGCAAACUGGUGACAGUUUGUGCAGCAGUUAGGGUAGCUCCCUAAUGGAUGGUAAAAAGGUCAACAGAUUGGACAAUCCGCCACCAAGCCUCUUUAUUUCUAUAAAGAGGAAGGCUCACAGACUGUAAGGAGAGAGGUCUUCUAGGAAAGGCUUAACAGACAGUCGGUCCCUGAGAGAAAUCUCAGUUCGAUGUGGAGGAAUCUACGAGAGGAAAU